rnacentral:rRNA from 1 species
GAUGAACGCUGGCGGCGUGCCUAAUACAUGCAAGUCGAGCGAACGGACGAGAAGCUUGCUUCUCUGAUGUUAGCGGCGGACGGGUGAGUAACACGUGGAUAACCUACCUAUAAGACUGGGAUAACUUCGGGAAACCGGAGCUAAUACCGGAUAAUAUUUUGAACCGCAUGGUUCAAAAGUGAAAGACGGUCUUGCUGUCACUUAUAGAUGGAUCCGCGCUGCAUUAGCUAGUUGGUAAGGUAACGGCUUACCAAGGCAACGAUGCAUAGCCGACCUGAGAGGGUGAUCGGCCACACUGGAACUGAGACACGGUCCAGACUCCUACGGGAGGCAGCAGUAGGGAAUCUUCCGCAAUGGGCGAAAGCCUGACGGAGCAACGCCGCGUGAGUGAUGAAGGUCUUCGGAUCGUAAAACUCUGUUAUUAGGGAAGAACAUAUGUGUAAGUAACUGUGCACAUCUUGACGGUACCUAAUCAGAAAGCCACGGCUAACUACGUGCCAGCAGCCGCGGUAAUACGUAGGUGGCAAGCGUUAUCCGGAAUUAUUGGGCGUAAAGCGCGCGUAGGCGGUUUUUUAAGUCUGAUGUGAAAGCCCACGGCUCAACCGUGGAGGGUCAUUGGAAACUGGAAAACUUGAGUGCAGAAGAGGAAAGUGGAAUUCCAUGUGUAGCGGUGAAAUGCGCAGAGAUAUGGAGGAACACCAGUGGCGAAGGCGACUUUCUGGUCUGUAACUGACGCUGAUGUGCGAAAGCGUGGGGAUCAAACAGGAUUAGAUACCCUGGUAGUCCACGCCGUAAACGAUGAGUGCUAAGUGUUAGGGGGUUUCCGCCCCUUAGUGCUGCAGCUAACGCAUUAAGCACUCCGCCUGGGGAGUACGACCGCAAGGUUGAAACUCAAAGGAAUUGACGGGGACCCGCACAAGCGGUGGAGCAUGUGGUUUAAUUCGAAGCAACGCGAAGAACCUUACCAAAUCUUGACAUCCUUUGACAACUCUAGAGAUAGAGCUUUCCCCUUCGGGGGACAAAGUGACAGGUGGUGCAUGGUUGUCGUCAGCUCGUGUCGUGAGAUGUUGGGUUAAGUCCCGCAACGAGCGCAGCCUUUAAGCUUAGUUGCCAUCAUUAAGUUGGGCACUCUAAGUUGACUGCCGGUGACAAACCGGAGGAAGGUGGGGAUGACGUCAAAUCAUCAUGCCCCUUAUGAUUUGGGCUACACACGUGCUACAAUGGACAAUACAAAGGGCAGCGAAACCGCGAGGUCAAGCAAAUCCCAUAAAGUUGUUCUCAGUUCGGAUUGUAGUCUGCAACUCGACUACAUGAAGCUGGAAUCGCUAGUAAUCGUAGAUCAGCAUGCUACGGUGAAUACGUUCCCGGGUCU